CUCAACGGUAAAAUGGCCUUCGAUACUGAGUUUCUUGAGUCCAGAAGAGGUUGGUGGAAUUCGUGGUGUAGCGGUGAAAUGCAUAGAUAUCACGAAGAACACCGGUGGCGAAGGCGGCCAACUGGUCUGGUACUGACGCUGAGGCACGAGAGCGUGGGGAGCGAACAGGAUUAGAUACCCUGGUAGUCCACGCCGUAAACGAUGCAUGCUAGUUGUUGGCCCUUUGGGGCCAGUGACGCAGUUAACGCAGUAAGCAUGCCACCUGGGGAGUACGUUCGCAAGAAUGAAACUCAAAGGAAUUGACGGGGGCCCGCACAAGCGGUGGAGCAUGUGGCUUAAUUCGAUGCAACGCGAAGAACCUUACCCGGGCUAAAUCACCGGCGACCGGCCCUGAAAGGGGCCUUCCCUUCNGGGCGC
rnacentral:rRNA from 1 species